rnacentral:rRNA from 1 species
AUUGAACGCUGGCGGCAGGCCUAACACAUGCAAGUCGAGCGGAGCGGCGGACGGGUGAGUAAUGCCUAGGAAUCUGCCUGUUAGUGGGGGAUAACGUUCGGAAAUGGGCGCUAAUACCGCAUACUAUCAGAUUAGCAUAGGUCGGAUUAGCUAGUUGGUGGGGUAAAGGUCUACCAAGGCGACGAUCCGUAGCUGGUCUGAGAGGAUGAUCAGUCACACUGGAACUGAGACACGGUCCAGACUCCUACGGGAGGCAGCAGUGGGGAAUAUUGGACAAUGGGCGAAAGCCUGAUCCAGCCAUGCCGCGUGUGUGAAGAAGGUCUUCGGGUUGUAAAGCACUUUAAGUUGGGAGGCGUUACCAACAGAAUAAGCACCGGCUAACUUCGUGCCAGCAGCCGCGGUAAUAC